UACGAAGGGGGCUAGCGUUGUUCGGAUUUACUGGGCGUAAAGGGCGCGUAGGCGGCCAGCACAAGUCAGUUGUGAAAUCUCCGGGCUUAACUCGGAAAGGUCAACUGAUACUGUGCGGCUAGAGUGCGGAAGGGGCAACUGGAAUUCUCGGUGUAGCGGUGAAAUGCGUAGAUAUCGAGAGGAACACCUGCGGCGAAGGCGGGUUGCUGGGCCGACACUGACGCUGAUGCGCGAAAGCCAGGGGAGCGAACGGG
rnacentral:rRNA from 1 species